GAUGAACGCUAGCUACAGGCUUAACACAUGCAAGUCGAGGGGAAACGACAUCGAAAGCUUGCUUUUGAUGGGCGUCGACCGGCGCACGGGUGAGUAACGCGUAUCCAACCUGCCCAUCACUUGGGAAUAACCUUGCGAAAGUAAGACUAAUACCCAAUGAUAUCCCACGAAGGCAUCGGAAUGGGAUUAAAGAUUUAUCGGUGAUGGAUGGGGAUGCGUCUGAUUAGCUUGUUGGCGGGGUAACGGCCCACCAAGGCAACGAUCAGUAGGGGUUCUGAGAGGAAGGUCCCCCACAUUGGAACUGAGACACGGUCCAAACUCCUACGGGAGGCAGCAGUGGGGAAUAUUGGUCAAUGGGCGAGAGCCUGAACCAGCCAAGUAGCGUGCAGGAAGACGGCCCUAUGGGUUGUAAACUGCUUUUAGAAGGGAAUAAAGUGGGUCACGUGUGACUUUUUGCAUGUACCUUAUGAAUAAGGACCGGCUAAUUCCGUG
rnacentral:rRNA from 1 species